AAGGGCUUAGCUUAAUUAAAGCGAUUGUUUUGCGUUCAGUUGAUGUGAGGUAGAUUCUUGCAGUCCUUA